rnacentral:lncRNA from 1 species
UAAACAUAUACAUUUAUAUAAAAAGACACUUUACUAAAAUUCAUUUUUAACACUACAUUUAAACUGAUCCCUGAGAAAUACAAAACAGAAAAAUAAUCAAAUAAAAUACUGUAAACUUUUCACCAUAUAAAAAAUUGUUGUUGUUUUUAUUUAUCAUAUUAAAUCAGAUAUGUUGUGAUCUUCCUGGUUUAACUGUCAUCAGAAAAGUUCAAGAGUCAACAGAAUGACAGUUUAAUACAUAGUGACCACAAUGGCCAUGCCAGAAAUAGUAGUUUUGAUUACUUUUAAUCAUACAAAGAUGUAAAAAUUAUUUUCCUGAAUUGCCCAUGUGACACAUCUAAUGCUGAUUAGUAUUAUAUUAAUCAUAUAAUAAUUAUAUAAAUUUAUUCAUUUUAUAAUGAUUAAUAAUUUUUAAAUUGGUUGGCAUUGAAUAUUGUGAUUUUCCAAUCAAAUAAAAACUGACAAUUUAUACAAAUGAUCUUCAUGUCUCCUUAUUUUUAAUUCAUACAUCAUAGUGUUAAGUGUGAUUUUUAAAGAUAGGUCUAUGUACUUGUUUUAUAGUUAAUGAAUAAAAUCAGUCAAAAUGCAUUUUUACCAAUAUGUUAUAGCUUGAUGUUGCAAAAAGAAAAAAAAUGACACUAGCAGCAACAUUAUCUCCCUUGUAAUUGUAACAUAUGCCAUUUCAGUAGUUCAAUAGUUCAGUUAAUAAACAAUUUGUCCAGAAAUAUAAUAUUGUCAGAACAUGACCUCAUAAGAUCAUGGAUGGGAAUAACUACAUGUAUGUUUAAUAGUGAGCAGGAUAUGUUCAGUUCUUUAUAAUAGUUGCUUUAAAAAAAACAAUUUUAUCUAGCAAUAAUUAUUUUCAAUUCACUUUAGGAAUGUUUCAAAUAUUCAUGAAUCAUGCAUAUGAUAUAUACCAUCUAGAACUGUUUUAAUACCAAAACUGGAAUCUACACUUACUUUUUUUCAACAUUUCAGUAUAAUUUACAUUACAUGUACAUGUAUGUUUCAUUAUGAUAUGUCAUUUUGAUUUGCCAACAGCAAUCUCUUGUAAUUCUGAAACUAACCUUCAUUUCAAAAUGAAAUGUAUUUAUUAUGACACAAGCUCCCUUGAUAAAGUGUACAGGUAAAGAAAGAAAAACUUGAUAGAAAUCCUGUUUUCAUGAUCCUUAAAUAAAAUAGUAAAAAAAAAAAAGUAUUGAAUACUUCUUAUAGUAAUUUUAUUGGGUUGUAAUUUAACUUGUAAAAGUGGUGAUAAUGUGCACAUUUUUAGAAUGAAGCAAUCCACGCUUCAUACAAAAUGUGCUUCGGUCAAGGCUUU